UGACGGCUGAGUGUCUACAUCAAUUAUU
rnacentral:piRNA from 1 species